ensembl:lncRNA
UAUGAGUUGAAGGAUACUGGUGGAUCACUUUCGGGAAACCUCUGCUGACUGUCUUCUACCUGUGUUGCAGAUUUUUGAUGACAUGUGAGGAGUGCUGUCAGUCUUGCACCUUGCUAUCAAAACCAUUUCCCAGUGCAUCAGUGACAGUCUUUUCAUUGACCUAAAUGUGGACUGGGUCAGGCCCUUCGUGACCUCUAAGUUAAUUCACACACACUGCUGAGAAAUAAGGGGAGGUAUCAUGAAGAUAACUGAGGCAUAGAAUCAUAGGCACCAUGAAAGGAAAUCCUGAGGAAGGGUCUAACUUGGGAAGAAGUGGCUGAGAUGGCCUCUUCAGCUUUGAAGUGUCACCCCCAAUGCAGUGCUGGAUUUGAUGGGAUGGAUUUUCAUAUCCUUGUUCAGGAAGUGUUCCCGAACUGACAUGGAUCAAGCCAGACUUCAUUACCAGGCAAAAAUAAUCAACUGAUCAGGUAUACGUGAACAGCGUUACCAAGAAGACUCCCUCACAUAAAUGAAUCGUACAGGUAGGAUGCUGAUUUUAUGAAUUUUAUGAAUACUAGUACUUAAUACUAGUACUUUAGUAU